rnacentral:lncRNA from 1 species
UAUUUUUAUUUGUAUAUUCUAGUUAUGAAGUUCACAUUUUAAAAUUAACUUCCUUUUCUAGGGGAAAUGUCCUUUAAACUAAGAUUUUCUAUAUAAAUAUAUCACCUGCUGACUAACAAAGGAAAGUACAUAGAAUUAUUUCACUUCCCUUUCUUAAUUGUGUUACGAUGUUAGAGAAUGGGGACACACACACACACACACACAUCUUAAGUAGUUUCUAUUUAAAUGUGUUCUACAAUGUACACUGUGAAUAUGAGAACUUUGUUACAUUAUUUGUAACUGCUAAAAAUAUGUUCACUUCAUACAAAAUCCUUUCAGGAGCUUUUUUGGUUAUUGUUGUUGUUAACCCUUGAUAGCAAGGGUCUGUAUUCCUAUUUUUAACAUGUUAUGAAUACCAAUAGAAGGUAGCUGUGCCUUGCUCUAUCUCUAUCUGGCACCUGUGUGGGAGACGGUAGCACACUUUGAUGCAGUACAGUUCACAGUGGCUACUUGAAUCCACUGGAAGUGCUUUCACAGCCUGUAAGUUGUCUGGGGCUUAUGGAUAAGAUUAGAAGCAGGUUUGUAUUGCUGUGUCUUGUCUUUCUUCCUUGUGUUUUAUAUUUUAAACUCUUGAGAUUUAAAAAAGGAAAAACUCUAAAGAAGCCUGCUAGCCCACUGAUUUUAAUCUCAGUAACUUAAUGCAUGAGUGAGUUUACUUUGAUGUUUCAUAUUAAAUACAUGUUUAGAGAGAACCUAUUCUGUGCGUUAUUUUCAAUACACACACACUCAUGUUUGAGUGUCUCUGUAAAAUGUUUUACUUAUAUGAAGGCUAAAAGUAAAUACUAUGAAAAAAUUCUUUAUGAACUGUAAUAUUUUUCUGUCAGUGUAUAAAGGAGAGCUAAUUUUCUGUAAUCUCUAGUGUCUUGUGGCGUUAAAUUAUAUAUGACACAAUAUUAAUAUGUAUUUUUAAGUUUAUUUAUAUGGCUAUAUGUUCCUUAGGAAACUAUAAGUUUUCCUUAUCGGGACAUACUUUUAUUUGUAUAAGUAUCUCCUAUGCAUUGUGGUGUAUUUUCUAUGCCAUUAACUACUACAAGUUUGAUGAUACAUAUUUAACCAUUUAAUGAUUACUUGGGGAUAUUUGAAGCUAAAAUGCUCUGGAAAAUUCAGUUGUCAUAGUACAAAAAAAAUAAGAUAAUUUGAUAAAUUUUUAUACAAACCCUGAAAAUUCAGGUUCAAAGUUUAAUCAAAAGUCUUAAAAUACACAGAUAAAAUAGAAUAAAAUCUUUGACUUACUUGAAUGCCCAGGUCAUUAUCACCUUUAGCCUUUGACUAAAUACGCAGAGGACAUGUAUAGUCCCAUUCAUCUUUGUUAUUUUACUUCCAUAAUUCACAUUUAACUACAAUCUUGGGUUCAAUGUUUGCUCUUUAUGAUACCAUUUAUAAAUGCCAUGGAAAUUGUUGAGACAACUAAAAUGAGGCAUUUGCUGCUCUGAUGACCUGUUUAGAAAACAAGAGUUAGAAACCAUGCUCAGACAUUGAGACAAUAUAUAACCUUAGGAAAAUUAUUUACAUUUAUUUCAUUUCUUUUGCAAGAAAUGAAUAAGUAGAGAUUUAAUAAUAGACAUCCAGCAGAGAUUCUUCUUGUAUUUUAAUCUGUAAGCAUUAUUUUUUUAAAAACAAAGUAUAAUAUAAAAUUUGAGGUAAAAAGACACCUCAACUUUAAGGUAGAAAAUUGAUGAUUGUAAAAAAUAUUGCCUUUCAUCAUCUUGCAGUUAUUUGUAAGCUCUGGCAAGGGUCCUUCUUUGGGCGGAAGAGUGACUACAUUUUACCUAUCUACAUCAUUUGUCCCAGGAGAUAAAAUGUUAUUGUGUUAUCUAAUAGUUAUUUGAAAUAAGUUAAUUAGAGUUCUGUAAAAAUGAAUGAAAUCUUAACUCAUACAAGUAAGCCUACUGUUUAUUGUAACAAAUCAAUGUAAAGAGUAAAUUAGGUGUUAUGUUGCCAGGUUUACUUCUGUUUUAUAGCAAUUAUAAGUGAUAGGUUUAUAUUGUGAAUUUUGACCAGUGAAUGCUGUUAUUUUAAUUCUUUGUAAAAAGAAAAAAAGAAAUGCGUAUCUCAGGAAUAUAGUCAAUAUAGGGAAAUUUUAAUAUCUCUAGUCAUGCUGGAAAAUUUGAAGAAAAGAUAUUGUCUAAACUGAUAACUGCUGUGAUGUUUCCCAUAUCCCAGCUUCUGAAUUAUCAUAGUCUAUCCUGAGAGUUAAGGAAGAGAUUCCAAGUAGCUGUGCAUAUAUUGUACCUUGCUGAGGUUUUGGCAAUUCCAUGAAUUCUCUGCUUAUUCUCUCUCACCUCAACAGCUGCAAUGGCUGCUGGACAAUUAUGAGACAGCGGAGGGAGUGAGCCUGCCGAGGAGCACGCUGUACAACCACUACCUUCGACACUGCCAGGAGCACAAGCUGGACCCGGUCAAUGCCGCCUCUUUCGGAAAACUAAUAAGGUCCAUUUUUAUGGGGCUACGAACUAGGAGAUUAGGCACUAGGUUAGUACUGACAGUCGACAUAAUUAGUUCUUCUCUCUGAUUCUAUUAGAGCAGUGUUGGAAAGUGAGCAAAAACGUACUUGAUAACAGAAAAAAAGCAAGGAGAAAACUAUAGAAUGGACCUCCUCUAUAAAGUCCAUAGGAAAUGAACAUUAUUAUUCAAUGGCUCUCACCCCUUAGAUUUUCAAACUACAUAGAAGUUAGAAGCCAACUUAAGAUUUGCAUAUAACAUAUUAUACACGAAUACAGUUGAAUAGUAAAUGGAAAACUAAUCAUUUCCUUAGUGCUUUAAAAUACGUUUAGUUGUUUUGUGAAAACUAUUUGACUUGCAGAAGUUAAGGCUGAAGUCUCCACUUUAUUUUGUGAUUUUGAGUUCACUGAAAAGGAUUUGGUAAGGUUACAAAGUGCACAUAUUUGAAGUUCUUUCUGAUGGUUCUAUUUUACCUCUUCCUAGCCUUCUAAGCUUUCCACUUGUCUCUUGUUCUUGAUUGUGAAAACAGGCAUAUAUGGGAGGGAACUGUGGAGGAUUUCCAUUAUAGAGAACACUUAUCUGAGGGAGGGACUUGCCAUGUUAUGGGUUUCUUUCCUUCAGAAGCAAUGAUUUUCCUUCAGAAGUGAUUUUUCUAAGCAAACAUGAUG